UAAAUCAUUAUUUUUAUUUGUAUGAUUUAAAUCAUGAUUUAAAUUGAAACAACCCUUUAUAUAUUUCGUCUUUCUGAGGCAGAGGGACAUUAUUCUUGGUUUUAUUAUUUUUUAAUUUAAUAUCUCUGAAUAUUUUUCAUAUUUAGGUUGCGUACAACAGUUAACAACUUUAAGCGUAUACAUUAACUUUAGUUAUAACUUAAUUAUAAAUGAUUUGAUUUAUAGAUUUUUAAAGCAAUACAAGAUUGAAUUUAGCAGAAGGCUAAACUUCUGCUCCGGAGACAAAAAAGGAAGACAGCAAAAAUGACCAGCCAAAAUGAAGAUUAAAGAGACAAAAAAUUGUGUAUAUCUUGGUGUAGAUGAUUUAUCCUCAAUUUCUUAUAAUUAAAAAAAAAAUAUUAUUAAACUUUGGAAUUUACCUGUAACUCUAAACUCUUUACAGAAGUUCAAUGUUUGCUCUGAGAAGUUGAAUAAACAAAAUUUAUUAAAUGUUUCAAGAUAAAGUUGUAUCCUAAAAAGAUAUGCUGGUAUUAUUGGCACAAUGGGCAAGCGUUGAAGUGCAACUUGGUGAACUACAAAAUACAUCAAAUUAAGUUAUAAAAAUUUGAGUUACAAAGGUAUGCUAAUUAUUGUAUUGCCUGAAAGAGUGUCAUUGCCAUUAAAAGCAGUGAAGAAUUCAAGUACUCUUGAAGAAAAAAGACAAGAAAACAAUUCAAUAAUUGGUUGUGUAUUUUUGCAUCUUAAUUAUUUGGCACAAAUUUGAGUUAAAAACGAAGGAGAUUGUAUAUGUUAUUUACUAGAAAUAGUUUCUUAAAAUAGAAUAGCAGUAAAAUUAAACUAUGCAGGGAGAGGACAAAAAAUUGGAAUAGGAAAAAUGUUGAUUGCAUAUGUUGCUAUUGAAACUGUGAAGUCAAAUAAGCAUGGCUUAUGCAGACACGUGAUAGAGAUAGCGGAA
rnacentral:lncRNA from 1 species